AAAAUUCAAAUAUUCUUGAAACCCGCAAGAAAACCACGAAAAUAUUGAGUCAGUUUCAAACUUACUUGUCCCGAUCUACUACCUUCGUCGUUAGAUCGCCUAGGGUACUUGAUAUAUGGUUCUCCUUGACCGAAUAGAUCCUGUCACCGUUCAAAUUGUCUAAUGGAAUUCCAGAGCUUAAAACCCAAAUUCAAACAGAGAUAAGUCCCCUUCUCUUUAUUUUCUUUUUCAAUCUCUUUUCCUCCUUUUAUGAAUAUUGGUUUUUCUCUUCUUUGUUUGCAGGUUUGGAUUAGCUUCUUCAAAACAGUAAGGAGCAAUUCUUUUUUUUAAAUUCUGUUUUUUUAUAUUUUGGUUGGAUCUUUUGUGUUGUUGUUGUUUUUUUUUUUUUGGUAUCAUUCAUUGUUUAUGGUUUGUUUCUGGUCUUUUAGUAUGGUGAUUAAAGUAGUGGGUGCUUUUAGGUUCAAUGGCCAAUGAGGUGGAGGUGGAAGCAGUAAUGGUGACAGUGAAAGUUGGAUGAUGAAGGAGAUGUUGUGUGGGAGAUGGAGUAUUAGACAGUGAUGGGGGUUUUGAGUGGCUAAGGGUUGUGUCAAAUAUGGCAAUGAUGAUGAGGGAUUUAGAGUUGAGAGAAGGGGUAAGAAAGGGAGUAGUGUGAGCUUGUUGAUGCGGGAAAGGUAACAGUGAUGCAGAGAGAAAAAAUGAACUAAAAGAAAAAUAAAGAGAAAAAGAAGAAAUAAAAAUAGGAAAAGGAAUUAAAACAUAGACUUAAUGGUGGAAGAGAUGAAUUAACAGUGUAGUGAUUAAUUUAGAGAAAAAGAAGAAAUAAAAAUAGGAAAAGGAAAAAGAAGGAAAGAAAUAAAAAAAAUAGACUUAUAACACCUGAAAUUGAAUAAGACUCUCUAAUGAAAUAAGAUUAUA
rnacentral:lncRNA from 1 species